rnacentral:rRNA from 1 species
AUUGAACGCUGGCGGCAUGCCUUACACAUGCAAGUCGAACGGUAACAGGUCUUCGGAUGCUGACGAGUGGCGAACGGGUGAGUAAUACAUCGGAACGUGCCCGAGAGUGGGGGAUAACGAGGCGAAAGCUUUGCUAAUACCGCAUACGAUCUCAGGAUGAAAGCAGGGGACCGCAAGGCCUUGCGCUCACGGAGCGGCCGAUGGCAGAUUAGGUAGUUGGUGGGAUAAAAGCUUACCAAGCCGACGAUCUGUAGCUGGUCUGAGAGGACGACCAGCCAGACUGGGACGGAGACACGGCCCAGACUCCUACGGGAGGCAGCAGUGGGGAAUUUUGGACAAUGGGCGCAAGCCUGAUCCAGCCAUGCCGCGUGCAGGAUGAAGGCCUUCGGGUUGUAAACUGCUUUUGUACGGAACGAAAAGACUCUGGUUAAUACCUGGGGUCCAUGACGGUACCGUAAGAAUAAGCACCGGCUAACUGCGUGCCAGCAGCCGCCGUAACAC